rnacentral:rRNA from 1 species
ACGCUGGCGGCGGCUUACACAUGCAAGUCGAGCGGGCGUAGCAAUACGUCAGCGGCAGACGGGUGAGUAACGCGUGGGAACGUACCUUUUGGUUCGGAACAACCCAGGGAAACUUGGGCUAAUACCGGAUAAGCCCUCACGGGGAAAGAUUUAUCGCCGAAAGAUCGGCCCGCGUCUGAUUAGCUAGUUGGUGAGGUAAUGGCCCACCAAGGCGACGAUCAGUAGCUGGUCUGAGAGGAUGAUCAGCCACAUUGGGACUGAGACACGGCCCAAACUCCUACGGGAGGCAGCAGUGGGGAAUAUUGGACAAUGGGCGCAAGCCUGAUCCAGCCAUGCCGCGUGAGUGAUGAAGGCCCUAGGGUUGUAAAGCUCUUUUGUGCGGGAAGAUAAUGACGGUACCGCAAGAAUAAGCCCCGGCUAACUUCGUGCCAGCAGCCGCAGUAAUACGAAGGGGGCUAGCGUUGCUCGGAAUCACUGGGCGUAAAGGGUGCGUANGCGGGUCUUUAAGUCAGGGGUGAAAUCCUGGAGCUCAACUCCAGAACUGCCUUUGAUACUG